AGUGAACGCUGGCGGUAGGCCUAACACAUGCAAGUCGAACGGCAGCACAGUAAGAGCUUGCUCUUACGGGUGGCGAGUGGCGGACGGGUGAGGAAUACAUCGGAAUCUACUUUUUCGUGGGGGAUAACGUAGGGAAACUUACGCUAAUACCGCAUACGACCUACGGGUGAAAGCAGGGGAUCCUCGGACCUUGCGCGAUUGAAUGAGCCGAUGUCGGAUUAGCUAGUUGGCGGGGUAAAGGCCCACCAAGGCGACGAUCCGUAGCUGGUCUGAGAGGAUGAUCAGCCACACUGGAACUGAGACACGGUCCAGACUCCUACGGGAGGCAGCAGUGGGGAAUAUUGGACAAUGGGCGCAAGCCUGAUCCAGCCAUACCGCGUGGGUGAAGAAGGCCUUCGGGUUGUAAAGCCCUUUUGUUGGGAAAGAAAAGCAGCAGGUUAAUACCCCGCUGUUCUGACGGUGCCCAAAGAAUAAGCACCGGCUAACUUCGUG
rnacentral:rRNA from 1 species